ACCCGCUGAACUUAAGCAUAUCAAUAAGCGGAGGAAAAGAAACCAACAGGGAUUGCCCUAGUAACGGCGAGUGAAGCGGCAACAGCUCAAAUUUGAAAUCUGGCCUUCGGGUCCGAGUUGUAAUUUGUAGAGGAUGCUUUUGGUGCGGUACCUUCCGAGUUCCUUGGAACAGGACGCCUUAGAGGGUGAGAGCCCCGUACGGUUGGAUACCAAGCCUCUGUAAAGCUCCUUCGACGAGUCGAGUAGUUUGGGAAUGCUGCUCUAAAUGGGAGGUAAAUUUCUUCUAAAGCUAAAUACCGGCCAGAGACCGAUAGCGCACAAGUAGAGUGAUCGAAAGAUGAAAAGUACUUUGAAAAGAGGGUUAAAUAGCACGUGAAAUUGUUGAAAGGGAAGCGUUUAUGACCAGACCUUUGCCUGGCGGAUCAUCCGGUGUUCUUCACCGGUGCACUUCGCCUGGCUUAGGCCAGCAUCGAUUUUCGUUAGGGGACAAAGACCGCGGGAACGUGGCUCCCUUCGGGGAGUGUUAUAGCCCGCGGUGUAAUACCCUUACGGGGAUCGAGGUUCGCGCUCUGCAAGGAUGCUGGCAUAAUGGUCAUCAACGACCCGUCUUGAAACACGG
rnacentral:rRNA from 1 species